rnacentral:lncRNA from 1 species
CAGGGAUAAACUUAUUUCUGUACAGAAACAUUAAAGCUACUUAGAAGCUGUUUACAUCCUUUGCCUCUCAGAAAAAAAAAGAAAGAAAGAAAGAAAGAAAUAUGCCAUGUGGAAGAAAGGAAGUUGUGGAACAUGUACCUCAUAUGCACGUAUCCGUUAUGUGUGUGCUCACACACAGGCACAGAGACAUGCACAAAAACAUACAUACACAGAAACAAAUUCUAGAAGGAGCUACCCCAAACUGUU